rnacentral:rRNA from 1 species
UGUGAACUGCAGGACACAUGAUCAUUGAUAAGUUGAACGCAUAUUGCACGUCGUGGGAACCUACCAUGAUGUACACAUGACUGAGCGCUUAUAUUUGAGAAAUGUAUCGCAUACAUUUAACUACGCCGUGGCAAUCGUCACGAGACGUGCACCAUGAUGUCAACCCGGGUCGCGGCGACCCUCUGGCAUUCAAGAACCCGUGGUUUACAAUAUACUGGCAUUGGAAUUCGAAGUAAGUAGAGCGUCCCGUGUUCCCGCGUGAGGCGGAUAUAUGAGGAGAAGGCGUGCUCAAUGUUGUUGUGGGAGUUUACUGAUGUCUAGCUUCUGCGUAUAUUUAUUUAUUUAAAUAGAAGCGACGACGUCAAAGUAUCAUCGAAGCAUCGGCGGGUAGCACAAAUGAUUCGAGUAUUGAAGUUGAUCAAAGGAACACAAACACAAACUAGCGUAUGGGCAAAGGAAGGUAUCAGUAGGUUAAACCACAUGCGGGCUAACGGCCCGUUAACCGAGGCCAACGGUACAUAUUGGUCAUUGAAAAAUGUAGUCGCAGCCAGUUGUGACUAGGUAAACCGCAAGGUAGAUAAGCCUCAGUUCAUGUGUGACAACCCCCUGAAUUUAAGCAUAAA